rnacentral:rRNA from 1 species
AGUGAACGCUGGCGGUAGGCCUAACACAUGCAAGUCGAACGGCAGCACAGUAAGAGCUUGCUCUUACGGGUGGCGAGUGGCGGACGGGUGAGGAAUACAUCGGAAUCUACUUUUUCGUGGGGAUAACGUAGGGAAACUUACGCUAAUACCGCAUACGACCUACGGGUGAAAGCAGGGGAUCUUCGGACCUUGCGCGAUUGAAUGAUCCGAUGUCGGAUUAGCUAGUUGGCGGGGUAAAGGCCCACCAAGGCGACGCUCCGUAGCUGGUCUGAGAGGAUGAUCAGCCACACUGGAACUGAGACACGGUCCAGACUCCGACGGGAGGCAGCAAUGGGAAAUAUUGGACAAGGGGCGCAAGCGUGAACCAGCCAUACCGCGUGGGUGAAGAAGGCAUUCGGGUUGUAAAGCCCUUUUGUUGGGAAAGAAAAGCAGCAGGUUAAUACCCCGCUGUUCGGACGGUACCCAAAGAAUAAGCACCGGCUAACUUCGG